GACGAACCGUGCGAACGUUGUUCGGAAUCACUGGGCUUAAAGGGCGCGUAGGCGGGUCCGCCAGUCUGUGGUGAAAGCCUCCCGCUCAACGGGAGAAGUGCCGUGGAUACUGCGGAUCUCGAGGGAGGUAGGGGCAUGUGGAACUUCCGGUGGAGCGGUGAAAUGCGUAGAUAUCGGAAGGAACGCCGGUGGCGAAAGCGAUGUGCUGGACCUCUUCUGACGCUGAGGCGCGAAAGCCAGGGGAGCAAACGGG
rnacentral:rRNA from 1 species